rnacentral:rRNA from 1 species
GAUGAACGCUGGCGGCGUGCUUAACACAUGCAAGUCGAACGAAGAUGCCGGAGUGCUUGCACUUUGGCAGACUGAGUGGCGGACGGGUGAGUAACGCGUGGGUAACCUGCCUUAUACAGGGGGAUAACAGUUGGAAACGACUGCUAAUACCGCAUAAGCGCACGGUAUCGCAUGAUACAGUGUGAAAAACUCCGGUGGUAUAAGAUGGACCCGCGUCUGAUUAGCUGGUUGGCAGGGUAACGGCCUACCAAGGCGACGAUCAGUAGCCGACCUGAGAGGGUGACCGGCCACAUUGGGACUGAGACACGGGCCCAAACUCCUACGGGAGGCAGCAGUGGGGAAUAUUGCACAAUGGGGGAAACCCUGAUGCAGCGACGCCGCGUGAGCGAAGAAGUAUUUCGGAUGUAAAGCUCUAUCAGCAGGGAANAGAAAUGACGGUACCUGACUAAGAAGCACCGGCUAAAUACGUG